AGGAAAUAAAAUGGGUCACCCAGGUUAAGAGCUAAUUUAAGUAACUGUUUAAUCAAGCAACUGGUUAAUUAAUCAGUGGGUUAAUCUUAGAAAUGUAAAAGAAAACACAAGAACACAGGAUAAAGGGCCAGGAAGAGAAAAGAGUGAUAAUGAAACUUCCUUCCAGAAAGAAGACUUAUCCAGGACAAGCUAACAGCUUUGACAUUCCUUGUCUACCUCUAGACCUGGACUUUAAGGUGUCUCACCCAAUUCUUUGUUCAGGAGAAAAAUUAUCUGUAGAAAAUCCUGGAAAGAGUUCACAGUACCCCCAGAACCCUGGACCCACAAUGUGCCAUGGCAAAUGCCCUGCAGAUCACAGGAACUUUACCAUUAGGCUGUAUCCUUAAAACUUGGAAACAGUUUGAUCCCUGCAAUCUGAAUAAAGAACAACUUAUCUUCUAUUGCAGUACUGUUUGGGACGAGUAUGACUAGAAAAUGAUUAGAGAUGGGUAUUGAAUGGCAGUCUAAAUUGCAAUCUAUUCUUCAAUUAGGUCUUUUUGGCAAAAGUCAAGUAAAGUUGUGCGAAAUACCCUGCGUUCAGGCUUCUGUGGCUCUUUAUCUCUGAAAAGACCCCAGUCUCCUGCAAGGAAGAGGGAACUGUUAUCAUUGACAACCCUGUCCUCAAAUGCCCACCUGUUCCUCAGGGGUAUAUGAGUUUCUCCUACAUGUUAAAUGAAAAUAACUACACUGGAUAGUCUCCUUGACCUCCUUUUUAUAAUCCUCAGGCCAGUAAUCAAUUCCAUUCUCUUCAAGUGGUUCAGAAGCUACAUCAGAUGCUAGGUGCUCCAAGACAGCCAGUAUUUCCCAGCCCUCUCCUCAUGCUCCUGAGACAGCUUUUAGUCCUGCAG
rnacentral:lncRNA from 1 species